AAAACACUGUAAAAGAAAAAAGAAAAGUAAGAAAGAGAGAGAGGGAUAAAUUGCACGCUUUGCGAUUUCUCUAACGCGUAACGGGGUUUGCAAAGAAAGAAAGAAAGAAAGAGAAGGAAAGAUAAAUAUUUUUUGUAUUCAUAGUUUCGUUCUCUUUUUACGAUUAAGGGGAUUUGUCAUCGAAUCCGCGUUUGGUACGAAUCCAGGAAAAAUAAAUGUUUCAUGAAAUCAAUUACAUUUUAAAAUACUUUGCUGACUGUUUAAAAACCAAGAAUAAAAUGAAUUAUAAAAGUAGAUUAAAAAAUGGUAAAGAUAUGGGUAUAUGCAAUAUUAAAGUUUGAAAAUUGUUCCUGCAAACAGGAAUAAUGGAAUCAUUUUUCUUACAGAAAAUAAAGGGUAAGGAAGACAUUAAAUACGAAGGAAGUAAAUUCAUUCUGUUUUAAUGAAUGAAUGCGAGACCACGAGGGAAGGAGCAAGAUCAUUUACACUUACUGUAUUUCGUCUGCGUUUUUAGUCUCGUGUUAGUUGAAACAAAAAAUGAUCUACCAAUAAAAAGUAGUAGAGACAGCUUUUUUUUUCUGGUAUUAGUUUAUAUAAGAUAGAAAAGUAUAUUUUAUUUAUAUAAUCUCGAAAUUCCGUUAUGUAUCGAUAACCGUAUAUGGUCAUGGGAAAGUAAGUAAGUAAAGUAUGUAUUAGUAUUGUAUCAGAUUAGAUAGAACCGUACUUGCUACGUAAAUUCUAGAUUUGAAUUAUGUAAACAAGAAAUUUGUAUGUAUGAUACGAUCAUCGUAAUUAAACUUCAUUCUAGAUGCAAAUUAUAUUCUACCUACGUAACAUUCUAUUAAUUUAUAAAUCAUUAACGAUUUAUCCUGAUUCGUCAUUGUCUCGAUACCAUGAAGAUAAUUACACACGAUGUUUAGAUACAGAGAAUGAACAGAGAGAUAUGGUAUGGUAAACCCGUUGCGAAUGCACUAGCUAACUUUAAUACAAACGUCGGAUUACAGUUGACCCAGUUACCAAUGACCACCACUGAGAAUUGUUUGGUUUGUUUUCGAACAAAUGUCCAAUUAAUCUUCGAUUGCAUUUGAGCACUGUUAGCCAACGAAGUCAUCUACUUUCAUAGAAAAAUUCUAUACCACAGUUUGGUGGCUAGAUGGGAACGAUCAAGAAACAGAACCUUGAAAAGACAAGUUAUACGAUAUGCUCCACGCAUAGUGAUUCAUAGUCGAUUGGUUUGACGUAAUCGUGCCUCAACUACCAGAUCAGUAAUAAGGUGUACACUCGAUCACCAUGUUUUAACUUUAUUCACGUUGACACUUCCGUUCGUAAAAUUAUAAAUGAAACAAAUAUAGUCAUUCGUUUUACUGACGAUUAUGACAAAUCGAUUUUUUGAAGUAAAAACUUCUUUAGAAUGGGUGUGAUUUGAAAAAAUGAAACACGGUGAUGUAGUGGGGAAAGGAAACGGCCUUAAUAUUACGGGGUGUAAGAAGAAAGAAAAAGGAAAAGAAGGCCAGGCCUUUUACACCUGGCGGGUGGGUAAGCGUCUGAGUGGUUUAAAAGAUUGCAGAUGGCGUAGUAAGUUACAGUAGUCGAUGGAGUCAGGGUGGUGGCAAUCGUGAACGAAGGGAAGCCUUGGGCUGCUGAUGUCUUCAGUCAGUCGGGUGGCAACCAUCGAGUGUGUUGUUUGUGUUGAGCCUGUCAAAAGAGGUAGGAAAAGAACUAUCUCCACGCAAGUGCGUUAGUUACUUUUCAAGGGGAUUACCGAACGGGGGUACACAGUGUGGGUAUAUAAGAGAAUAAAAAAAGCUAAGAAAAGGAAAGAAACAAAAUAAGAAGAUAGAGUGUUAAACAAAGAAGAAUGACGAUUAUAGUAAAAGGAGGUGAGACGACGGCGUGCCUGAAGAACAUGUGAUUUUAAAACGAUAAAACCAAGUUUUCCAAUCCAAUCGGCGGAGGUAAUCGCUGAUUUUCAACGACGA
rnacentral:lncRNA from 1 species